GACGAUUUUUUGGGCUAUGACGAC
rnacentral:miRNA from 1 species